AAUAGUUAACAAAGACAAGGCAGUAACAGAAGGAAGUCUAGAAAUAUGGAAAAGGCUACUCAAAACACAAUGCUAGCACUUGAGCAGAGAGUAUUACCUUAGCAGAUCAUGGCCAAAUUUGGCAUCAAAGCUUUGUAGCAAUUGAAGCCUUUUCUCUGUUUCAAUACAAAUGCAGGACAAUAAUGCUGCUAUUAUUUGAUAUACAGACUCAUGCAGAGAUCCGCUAUACUAAACAGAACCUAACAUUCAUGCAAAAAGACCACAAGAAAUGUGAUCCAAUGAAUUUCCUUCCCAACUAUGAGAUAAAUCAUAACCAGCAUGAUGGAAACAUAUGGAUCAAGCUAAAAGAACCUGCUGCAGGUGAAUGAUAUAAAGCAUUAGUUAAUUUCAGAUACUAAUCAGAAGUGGCUCAGUAGUAUAAUGACUAUUGAUUUAAAAUGCACCAGCUGGGCACUCAAGGACAGUCCCUAUGUGUGGAGGCCAGACUGCUCAUAAAAUUUGAAAACUGAAGUGUGUAUCAGUCCAAAGAAGUCAGUUCAUGAGUUGCCUCAAUAUCGCUUUUAUUUCAAUAUUUUUAACGUUAGAAUUGAAAAGACAUCCCUUUAGCAGCUGAAAAGAGGACUGAGCUCCGUGCAUCUAUGACAUCAGCCAACACCUCAGAAUUGCCUCAUGAUUACAUGCCCGCCAGAACCCAGUCAGUAACCAGGCUGACAGAAGCAUGUUACUCUUCACCCAUCCCAGCAAAGGUUAUGUAAGCUGCCUGUGAAGAUCUUUUCUACAGAUGAAGCUCCUUCUGCUAAUGUGUAUAUAGAAAACUGGUUAUAUCUGUGCAUUGACAGCUGAUGAGAUUGUGUGUAACAAAGCCAGAGACAGCACUUGCUGUUUUACUGAGAAACAACAAUAAAAAAUGAAAUAUUAUCCAGCAGAUGUUACCAUUUCUAGUCACAAUUAGCACAGAGGCAGGUGAUCUGGCUGUUACUUGAACUACCACACCAUGAAAAAAAACUUUUACAAAAAUUCCAACUAUGCGUGCUCUACACUGAAAACAACCUUCAGAGUUGGUGCAAAGAAAUAGGGCUAACUAAUGAAACAAAAUCAAGUAUGUUGAAACAAAACCCACGCCUAAGGAGUACAGAUAGCUGUUGACGCAGAGGCGAAGAAGUGAAAGGAAACAGUUCAAGAAUGGACAAACGUUCAGAAAGACAAUCACUAAGCUGCAACUUAAAUCUUCAAAGGGCAAAACAAGCAUCUCCAGCAAUACGCCUGAACUCAAAUCUCUAGGAAGCCAGUGGAAAUACACAGACUGCUUUAAGCCCAUUCUGUCUGUCCCCAUCCCCACCUCCCUCUCCUUUUUUCCCCCCAUGUUUAUUUCCCUCCAGUGCGACAGAGCUAAAUACUCCAUUAACAUUACUCACUCCUCUCAGCUGGUCUGGCAACGCACAGGCUAAGUGCAGACCCCUUGUGUUGAAUGUUCAUGCUCCUUUGAUUUUCAGUAGUUAAGUCAGAAAGACCCCAUCUGCGCACAGCUCCAGACUUUGCAAGUAAUUCUUCCUGACAUGACGUAUUUGAUGUAGAAUGUCAUAAUUCUACCACCUUGACAAUAUCAUUAAAUUGAACCAAUACACCAAAUGAGAUAAAUUUUAUUAGUGAAACAUCUAAACUCUUUGAAUUAAGGUUGUGCAAUUUUUCAUUCUUUUCUGCAUGUAAAAUGUAUUUACUUACAGUUUCACAUAGACUUCAUUUUUUUUUUUAGUAAGCCAGAGAUAUUUAUUAGGUUAUUACAUUUCUAAAGCUGCUCCACUUUUCAUUAGGUAACAUUUUGCCAAACAUUCAUAUACGAAAUAAAAAUUAUUGAGCAAAAAACUGUAAUUAACCAAAUCCAUUAGGUAUUUGUUUAGAAGCAGAACACCAGCUUUAAGAUGACUGGUAUUUAAUGUAAAAAUACGGCUCUUAAGAUUGU